AUCUGUUCAAACAAACGAGUGGGUCGUUAAUAAAAAAGCAAACAGUUCAUGAAACGCUUGUCACUCUCUCUGUUCCUCAAACGCCGCUUCAGGCCUUCUCUCUCUCUCUAAUUCUCUAAAUUCUAAAACGCCGCUUCAGGCCUUCUCUCUCUCAUUCUCUAAAUUCUAAGUUUCACCCUAUCUCUCUCUUCAAUCUUCUGACCCCAAACUCUCUGAAACGCUUCUCAAACUCAUCCUUUAAACGCAAACGCCAGAUUGGAAAGAUGGAAGAAGCAAAGAUUGAAGAGAGAUUUUUCAGUUACUUUAUUGAUUAAAUUAAUUCUGUAAUUUAUCACAAAUUUUGAUGUUUAUUUCUAUUUAUAUUGUAAUUUUUGUAAUUGAUAUAAAACUGUAUUAAUAAUUGUUGUAAUUACUCUUAUUGUGAUUAAUAUAAUUAUUUUUUCCUUUAAAAUCUGUUGGAUUAUGACAAAUAACACUAUUGUUGGUUAUUUAUUAAAUAAAUUAUUUACUUAAUAUUAUUGAAAGAUUGAAAAAAAAUCAAUUACUAAUAUUGACAAAAAAAUAAAAAAAAUCAAACAAAAUAAAUGUUGUCUGAACAAAGUAUUUGACAUUAGCAGACUUUUAAGG